AAGGUCUAAUUACUCAUGAGAGCUCUAGACUACUUCAACUGAAUACAAAUAUGCAUAUAUAGAAAAACUUAAGUGGAUUAUCUGUUAGAGAUGGAAAAAAAUCCAGAAAGGACUAUUAAGUGAGCACCUUCAUAGAGCAUUAGGAACUGGAUAAGUAAUCCUACUUGGUUUCUCCAACUCUCUGACCCACCUUUCUGUGGACAAACCACCCAAAGGAGGAAAACAUGGAAGAUCUUAAAUUGAGAUACCACCAUGAACAACAUGACCUGACCCAUCUGCAACCUGUUGAGCAACUUGCAUGUAUUAUAAACUACAGGAAACAACAGUCUUCUUCUAUGUAACAAAUAAUAAUCAAGCCCAAUGCAUGAAGCAGGAGGAAUCUGGACUUUUUAUUUUUGGCUUUGUUUUUUAAGAACAACUCCAUUUAUUCUUUCUUUUUAUAUAGGUUUGUGUGCAGGUGCAGGUACUUAUAACACUGUUCUGGUUAUUUCCUAAUAAUAGAUGUCUUUGAAAAGGAUCCUGUUUUAAAAAAGAGUUAUUAAAAAACUGCUUUGAAUGCUAUUCGGAAAUCCCUUCUAACCAGUACAUGGAACAAUUCUGUGUUCCCACAUCCAAGGAUGGUUGGAAUAGUGAUAGCCACAAUUAUGUGCAACAGCACUAACAUUUUAUGAGUGUUGGAGUGAUAAUACUAUCUUAAGGACUAACACAUGGAUUUCACUGCAUGCUGUAUUUGGGAAUACCUGAAGACAUUUCUAAAUAGAAGUCUUGGUGAAGGUAUUAUAAAUAUUAAGGAGUCCUACUUUCUUUAUUUGGUGAGACUUGAAAGCUGUGCUGUUAGAUCCUGAGUCCCACUGAAAUCCUCUUAAUGCAAGACUGACACAAAAUGGUUCUUUCUGGUGUCAGUCUCACAAACCAGACUGACUAUUUGUUGCAUUUACUUGUCAUUCUACCCAUGUGAACACAGUAAUUUAUUGAGUCUGUCUUUUUGCAACCUCAUUUGAAUGAAAAUGUUUCUGUCCCUUUAACUGGUUCAACAGGCUCUGUGUGAAUAUUCAUUUCUUUAUCUGUUUCAUAAAUGCUGUUACAAUUGA